rnacentral:rRNA from 1 species
UACGUAGGGCGCAAGCGUUGUCCGGAAUUAUUGGGCGUAAAGAGCUCGUAGGCGGUUUGUCGCGUCUGCUGUGAAAACCUAAGGCUCAACCUUGGGCUUGCAGUGGGUACGGGCAGACUAGAGUGCGGUAGGGGUGACUGGAAUUCCUGGUGUAGCGGUGGAAUGCGCAGGAUAUCAGGAGGAACACCGAUGGCGAAGGCAGGUCAC